UACGUAGGGUGCGAGCGUUAAUCGGAAUUACUGGGCGUAAAGCGUGCGCGGGCGGCGCGUUAAGACAGGUGUGAAAGCCCCGAGCUUAACUUGGGAAUUGCGCUUGUGACUGGCGUGCUGGAGUGUGGCAGAGGGAGGUGGAAUUCCACGUGUAGCAGUGAAAUGCGUAGAGAUGCGGAGGAACACCGAUGGCGAAGGCAGCCUCCUGGGAUAACACUGACGCUCAGGCACGAAAGCGUAGGGAGCAAACAGG
rnacentral:rRNA from 1 species